rnacentral:tRNA from 1 species
UUAGUAUUAGUUAAAAUAUAACAUUAGAUUGUGGUUCUAAAAUUAGAGAAUUCUAUACUAAU